rnacentral:rRNA from 1 species
UACGGAGGGUGCAAACGUUGCUCGGAAUUAUUGGGCGUAAAGCGCACGUAGGCGGCGAGGCAAGUCGGAUGUGAAAUCCCGGGGCUCAACUCCGGAACUGCAUUCGAUACUGCUUUGCUAGAGUACUGGAGAGGAGACUGGAAUUUACGGUGUAGCAGUGAAAUGCGUAGAUAUCGUAAGGAAGACCAGUGGCGAAGGCGAGUCUCUGGACAGUUACUGACGCUGAGGCACGAAGGCCAGGGGAGCAAACGGG